AUGGAGGUUGUCACGGCUCUGGCGACCACGGAUGUUGAUAUGUCUGGCGCUUCUGUUGACGCGGGUAUCAGGUCUGAGUCUGAGAGGGCAUCCAAGUGGGCGCGUAGGAAGGAGAAAAUGUUUUGCUAUCGUUGUGGUGAGAAAGGUCACUUCAUUGCUGAGUGUGUGGCUGAGUUGUGUGAUACAUGUGGUAAGCCAACACAUGCCUCGGGGGAUUGCCCGCUUCUUCGUGAGCAGGCUCCGCCUCUUACAACGUAUGGAGUAUAUUGUGCCGAGUUGAUGUUCUUUGAGUCCCCAGCUGCGAGAGAGAUUCCAGUUGAGACGCAGAGCAUGACUACUGGUAUUGUGAAGGUGACCCAGGGAGAGGUCUCUGAAGCUCAGAUUGUGCAGAGGCUUCAGGAACUGGCUCCGGGAGACUUUCAGUGGGAGCUUGUUCUCAUUGAGGAGUGCGUGUUCAGGGUUGACCUCCCGUCGGUAGAGGACUUGCGGCGGUUGCUGAGCUUUGGGACGUGUAAGGUGCCAGGUACUAAUUGUAUUCUUGAGUUUCAAGAGUGGAAGAAAGUGGAGCCUAAGGGGAAGCCCCUUACUCAGGUGUGGCUGCGUUUUUCUGGGGCACCCUCUGAGGCUCUGACAGAUGUUCGGGUUGUGGCUAGUCUGGGUAUCAUGGUUGGCAAAACUGAGAAAGUGGAUAUGACAUUCACUCGCGCCCAUGGGGUGGCCUGA
rnacentral:rRNA from 1 species